UAGCUAAACUGUGCCAUAGGUCUAUAUGCCUGAAAGAGCCUGCUUAGUACAUUCGAUGUAAACGCGCCUGUACUAAGGCUUUGGUGCGCACCAAACUUAAUACGCGUAUGAAAGCGCUGAUUGAGAAAUUGUGUUUAUAAAUAACAGAGAUUCAAUAGAUAAGAAUUGAUCAAGAAAAAAAUGAACGUAUGUAUAAUGAACGUAAUAAAUUAUUGAAUUGUUCAAAGGACUUUAUUACAAAAAAAAAUCAAAAAUUACUUGAAAAUAAUCGAUUUGUACCCCCAAGAUGGAUCUACCAUCUUGAAUGUUUUGCCAAUAGGUUAUCCAAUCAUAUAUGCUGUAUAGCAGACCUGAAACUAGUAUUAACAAUACUCUGUUGAAUUUGACUAUAUCUGAUUUAGAAAAAAGACGAAAAAUGCAGUCACCUGUUAUGAAACGGUCAUUUCUGCACAGAAAUGGCACCUACUUCAUCAUAGUACCAUUAAUUAUAGGACUCCACAUAGGUUGGUUUACCUUGCAACAGCGUUAUGUUCCAUUAUCCGACAGACAUGAUCAUCCAAUGGUUAGGUUAUACAAGAAAUUUACGACAUAAUAAUGUAAUGUAUAUAAGUCUUAAUUUGUUAUCGUUAAUAACAUAAUGUUUAUCUUUUAAAAUUACACUCGAAUUAUGGCGAAACAAAUCUGUUUUAUAUUUACAUAUAUGUCUUAUAUUUUUUGUUUCCUCCAAAAUUUUUGUGGGUACCACAGUUUCACAAUAUAAUAUAAAUUUAAUGUACUAUUAAUAUAUAUAGAAUAUUAUAUAUAUUAAUACUAUUAAUAUAUAUAAAUAUAUAUAGAAAUUAGAAUUCUAAUGAAUUCUAAUGAGUGCUGAAAGCUUCAAGUAUUGAAAUAAAUUUUCUUCUUAGUUUA